AAGUCCGACCCGUUCGCGGCCAUCGCCGGCGCCGUGGCCGCCGCCAGGUCCCGCCUCGGGACCUUCCGCACGCGCGCCGAGAAGAAGAUCCCCGCCAUCGUCGACUACUUCGGUUGGUGCACCUGGGACGCGUUUUACCAGGAGGUGACCCAGGAGGGCGUCGAGGCCGGGCUCCGGAGCCUCGCCGCGGGCGGCGCCCCGCCCAAGUUCGUCAUCAUCGACGACGGCUGGCAGUCCGUGGCCACCGACGACGCCAAGGGCACGCUGGCCCGGCUCACCGGCAUCAAGGAGAACGGUAAGUUCCAGAGCGGCGUCCAUGGCGGCGGGAUCGAGACGGUUGUCCGCGCGGCCAAGGAGAAGCACGGGCUCAAGUACGUGUACGUGUGGCACGCCAUCACCGGCUACUGGGGCGGCGUGCGGCCCGGCGUCCCCGCCAUGGAUGCCUACCGGUCCACGAUGCAGUUCCCGGAGAUCUCCCCUGGCGUGGCGGAGAACGAGCCCGGGAUGAAGACGGACGUGCUGACGCUGCAGGGCCUCGGCCUCGUGCACCCGGACGCCGUGCACCGGUUCUACGACGAGCUCCACGCGUACCUCGCCGCCGCCGGCGUCGACGGCGUCAAGGUCGACGUGCAGUCCGUCCUCGAGACCCUCGGCGCCGGCCACGGCGGCCGCGCCCGGCUCACGUCC
rnacentral:lncRNA from 1 species